AGAGCGAACGCUGGCGGCAGGCCUAACACAUGCAAGUCGAGCGCCCGUAGCAAUACGGGAGCGGCAGACGGGAUAGUAACACGUGGGAACGCGCCCUUCGGUUCGGAAUAACUCAGGGAAACUUGAGCUAAUACCGGAUAAGCCCUUACGGGGAAAGAUUUAUCGCCGAAAGAUUGGCCCGCGUCUGAUUAGCUAGUUGGUGGGGUAACGGCCCACCAAGGCGACGAUCAGUAGCUGGUCUGAGAGGAUGAUCAGCCACAUUGGGACUGAGACACGGCCCAAACUCCUACGGGAGGCAGCAGUGGGGAAUAUUGGACAAUGGGCGCAAGCCUGAUCCAGCCAUGCCGCGUGGAUGAUGAAGCCUUAGGUGUAAAGUCUUUAACGGGAAGAUAAUGACGGUACCGUAGAAUAAGCCCGGCUAACUUCGUGCCAGCAGCCGC
rnacentral:rRNA from 1 species